AUUUACAAUUAGAAAAAUAAAACAUUAUUAUAACAUGUUUGAGCAAAUAGAUCUAUUGAAACAGGUGUGGGCCAUUCCUCCAGUGAUGACAUUGAGAUCCUUCAGGAUGCUGUUCCUGGAGGCAAUUUCAAACCUGAGUGGACAGUGGACAACUUACAGUCAUAGCCAUAGACCUUGAAACUACAGACCUAAAUAAGAAUCGAUGUUUUAGAUUGAUAAAUAUGUGGUUAUGUUAUGCCUAGCAGUAGUGGAGGUAGACCUUGGUACCCAGUUUGCAGUUUGUAGCAAACCCAAGAACCGCAGUUACAGCUGAAUUAAGCUCAAAAGGUGACUGGUAUAUGUGUUGAUGACAAUUGCGGUAUGUUUGUUAAUGGAAAACUGGAAGUGUGUAUUCAUAUUCAUAGUGUGCAGUUGGUUUGAACAGUUUUCAAAUGUUUGUCUUGUUGCACAUACUGGAAGGAGAUUUGACUUUCAAAUAGAUCUACUCAUGACAGCUGUAUUGAAAACCAAAACCAAAGAUGUUUUUCUUGGAUCAGAUCAGUAUCUGGCUUUCUGGACAUGUUGUUUGUCAGCUAGUGUUUAGGAAGAAAUUUCCAGGUCAGUUAAUGAAACAGGAGGACAUGCAUGUAAGACAUCAUUUCAGUCUGACAUAUGACGCCCACAAUGCAGAAGCUGAUGUGGAGGCUCUUGGAUGUCCUCUUGGACUGUGUCAAGUUUUGGAUCUCCUGAACGUCAGUUUUUCUUCUGUGGCUUUGAAGUAUUCUUUACAGAUCAACACUGAAAAGUUUAAAAUAUGUGAUUUUUUUAUCUGUUUGCAAGCAGCUGACCGUGAACAGUUUAUUGUAUGAGAUGGGGUGAACAUCAAAGUUUACUGACCUGCCUUAAUAUUCAAAAAGGCCAAUAGGUCAGUUGUGUUUCAUAGACUUGAAUAUUCACCAAUGAUAUCAUACAGUGUUUUAUUUUAUGACUACACUUAAAAAAAGAGAAAAUGUCCAUACACAGUUAUAUUAAAAUGUAAUGAGGCUGCUGAUUGAAUUACAAGAUAUGAUUGGGUGGAGUUUGACAGGUCUAAAUUUCUUACAGCGUGAAAGUUUGUUUUGAGGAAUAGUUGCUCCUUCAGGUCUGAUUACAAGACUAACACUUUUUGCAGUGAAUAUCACUUUCUAUGGACCUCCAUCUGACCAGUUGUGUAAUUUAUGACUCAUAAAAUAAAAGAAAAUA
rnacentral:lncRNA from 1 species